UACGGAGGGUGCGAGCGUUAAUCGGAAUUACUGGGCGUAAAGGGCAUGCAGGCGGUCCGACACGUUUUGUGUGACAGCGGGUGGCUUAACUACCCGAGGAUACGAAAGACGGUUGGACUUGAGGACUCGAGAGGGACACGGAAUUCCGGGUGGAGUGGUGAAAUGCGUAGAGAUCCGGAGGAACACCGAAGGCGAAGGCAGUGUCCUGGCGAGUGACUGACGCUGAGGUGCGAAAGCCAGGGGAGCGAACGGG
rnacentral:rRNA from 1 species